GGUAGGAUGGCUGAGAGUUAGGCAAUAGAUUGUAAAUCUAUCUACGGGAUUAUCCCCCCUCAUA
rnacentral:tRNA from 1 species